CAGCAGUAGCCGCGGUAAUACGAAGGGUGCAAGCGUUAAUCGGAAUUACUGGGCGUAAAGCGUGCGUAGGCGGUGAGUUAAGUCUGCUGUGAAAUCCCCGGGCUCAACCUGGGAAUGGCAGUGGAUACUGGCUCGCUAGAGUGUGUCAGAGGAUGGUGGAAUUCCCGGUGUAGCGGUGAAAUGCGUAGAGAUCGGGAGGAACAUCAGUGGCGAAGGCGGCCAUCUGGGACAACACUGACGCUGAGGCACGAAAGCGUGGGGAGCAAACAGGAUUAGAUACCCCCGUAGUCCCUGUCUCUUAUAA
rnacentral:rRNA from 1 species